rnacentral:rRNA from 1 species
UACGGAGGGGGCUAGCGUUGUUCGGAAUUACUGGGCGUAAAGCGCGCGUAGGCGGACCUGCAAGUCGGGGGUGAAAGCCCGAGGCUCAACCUCGGAACUGCCUUCGAUACUGCGGGUCUCGAGUCCGGGAGAGGUGAGUGGAAUUCCUAGUGUAGAGGUGAAAUUCGUAGAUAUUAGGAAGAACACCAGUGGGCGAAAGGCGGCUCACUGGCCCGGGUACUGACGCUGAGGCGCGAAAGCGUGGGGAGCAAACAGG